GGUGUGGAGUCGGGACAAUCCAUGUACAAUGCUAGAAUGCUACUCCCCUUUGUGGUUUUCUCUUCUCUGGAUUCUACUCUGAAUUUGGUGGUCCGAUGACCGGAGGAGAGUGACCUGAUUGCAAAUCUGCAUUCAUGAACGGCAGGCAGGCAGGCAGGCAGCAGCAGCAGCCUACCCCGAUCUGCCACCGCCCGCCGGCGCCGAUUCACCACCGCCAGCAACAGCAAGCGACGACUCCGGUCGAGAUGGCGGCGUCACUUGUCUCCUCGCUCACGUUGCCCCUCAUCUCCGCCGUCCUCGGUGCCGCCAUCGCCCUUGUCUUCCUCGCCGGCUACCUCCGCCGCAAGCGCGCCGCCAUCGCCCACAUCCCUCCCUCCGCCACCACCGCCGCCCCGGACCAGCCCAAGCACGUCCGCCCCUCCAACCAGGCCCAGCACAGGAAGGGCCAUCCCCGCCCGCAUCACAACGCCGCCGAUAAGGAUGCUGCCAAGAAGCACCACCAUCUUGAUGUCAACACCUUGAGGGGGCACACUGACUCAGUCACUGCACUUCACUUCUCCAAUGAUGGCGCCAACCUAUCCACUGUGUGUGCUGAUGGAGCUGUAAGGAUAUUCAGGAUCGACGAUACCUCAAGCAAGAGCUUUAAGAUUCUGAGGAUAAACUUGCCUGCUGGAGCACAUCCUACCGGUGUUGCUUUCUCGGAGGGCUCUUCAUCUGUUGUUGUGGCAGCACAGGCUCUUCUGGGCUCAUCUCUCUAUAUGUAUGCGGAUGUUAGUGCUCCUCCAACGGCCCAAAACAAGCAGCAGGGCAAGCUGUCUCCGCCUGAGAUCAAGUGGAGUCACCAAAAGAUUCAUGGAAAGGAGUCAGUGCUCAACCUUGCAGCAGCCCAUGCAACUCAUGGGCCCGGAGAUGGGAGCACUAUAAUUAUUUCGUGCUCAGAAGCAACCGAUAUCAAAGUUUGGCACGGGAAGAGUGGAAAGGAGUUGGGUACUGUUGACACCAAUCAGCUAAAAAAUAAUAUGGCUGACAUAUCCCCAAAUGGUCGCUUCAUAGCUGCUGCAGCUUUUACUGCUGAUGUCAAGGUGUGGGAGAUAGUUUACUCAAAGGAUAGUUCAGUGAAAGAGGUUAAUAAAGUCAUGCAGCUCAAGGGUCACAAGAGUGCUGUUACUUGCUUGUGCUUUGCCCCAAAUUCUGAGCAAAUUAUCACUGCAUCCAAAGAUGGUUCCAUUCGAGUAUGGAACAUUAAUGUAAGGUAUCACCUUGAUGAGGAUCCAAAAACCUUAAGAGUUUUGCCAAUUCCACUGCAUGACUCAAAAGGUUCAAUUUGCCAAUAUGAUCACAUGAGCAUCUCUCCUGAUGGUAAAGUUCUGGCUGUAACAAGUGAAUCAACAUUGCAAUGGUUAUGUGUGGAAACUGGUGCAGUUUUGGAUACAGCUGAGAAAGCUCAUGAAGGUAGAACAGCACUCUUAAGGCAGAUGUGGAGUGUUAAGUCUUAGGUACUGGAAAGAUGAUAGGAAAUAUAGUAGGACAACAGUAUACCAGCACUGUAGCUGCCAUAUGCUAUACAAAUCGGUCAUAUAACUGGCAUUGCUUGGGCUCCACGGAAAAUUCCCAAUGGUGGCGUGCCUGCAUUUAUUUUGGGGACUGCUGGUGUGGACAAGAAGGUUAAACUUUGGUUAGCUCCACAGGUUGGUUCAACAUGAGUAAUGGAGGACUGAGCAUUUCCUAUCCACAAGGUCACAGAAAGAAAGGACACAAGAAUAGAAGAAAACAGGGGAAGGCCUUGAUUUGUACUUGAUAUUGCACUGAAGCAUACAUAGCUGUGGUCCUUUGAGCUUGAGGGACAGCACUGAGGUCUGUGUGAUGAGAGUGUGAAACAUGGAGACUGCACGCGCACGUGCCUAGAGGCAGUAGUUUCGCUAUAGAUUGUGCCAGGUUUUUGAAAUAAAUUGAGUGUUGUCUGCAAUUUUAUUUUUCCUUUACUUUUGCUGGGAAUGGUUGUGCAGGCAAACUAUGUGGUUUGAUAGUGUUUGUUAUACGAAGUGGUUUUAGUACGUAA